rnacentral:rRNA from 1 species
GUGCCAGCAGCCGCGGUAAUACGUAGGUGGCAAGCGUUAUCCGGAAUUAUUGGGCGUAAAGCGCGCGUAGGCGGUUUUUUAAGUCUGAUGUGAAAGCCCACGGCUCAACCGUGGAGGGUCAUUGGAAACUGGAAAACUUGAGUGCAGAAGAGGAAAGUGGAAUUCCAUGUGUAGCGGUGAAAUGCGCAGAGAUAUGGAGGAACACCAGUGGCGAAGGCGACCUUCUGGUCUGUAACUGACGCUGAUGUGCGAAAGCGUGGGGAUCAAACAGGAUUAGAUAC